rnacentral:lncRNA from 1 species
CUUGCUUUAAUGGUGGAAGCUAAGAUUAAUCAAUCAAAUGAGUAUUAGAGACCUAGAUUCAACCUAUAAUAUACCCUGAAAUUUUUAUUACUUGUAUAAAAAUUUCUCAUAUAAUAUUUGUUUAAUUAAGCGAGAUUACCCUUAACAUCAUGAGGUUUCUUUCAAUUGUAGAGUAUGCAUAUAUUAACUCAUUUAUCGAACUCAACAUUCUCCAAGUUAAACUCUGGCGAUAUAUAUAUUAAUUCUGUAUAUCAUCUGAGUAGCCACAUUUUAUUUAAAUGCAUUCAUCGUUAAGGAGGAAAAGGAAGAACUCGUAAGACCAAGCUCGAGCAAUUUGAAAGAAAGUGACCUUGUGUGGACGAGAUGUUAUGUACAUUCUCAAAAAUAGAACUUGGUUCUUGGAGUAAUGACUCUAUAUUCAUACAUCCAAAAUGAAAAUUCUCGAGGACUUGAUAUCAAUCAUGACUCACUAAAUUUAGUAGCAUUGCCCAUUGCUUGGGCAUGUCAUGAAAAUCUCAGUGUACCCAACUUAAGCCGAAAUCAGAAAAUCACUCUAAAAGUCUACACCUUUGCAAACCCACAAAGUAGCCAUUGGAAGUUCUCUUUUUCUUUUAAAAGAUUUGGAAGUUUGCUAUCACUAGCGGCACAUAAAAUGUACCAACUCUUUAUUCAAAGUAAGAGGGGUACAAUUAAAAGGUAAUAAGUAAAAUGAAUUAUUUUUCAGAAAGGGGGUCACUAUCCAUGAUUAUAGACUUGUGCUUUUCUUAAUUCACACCAACCCCACCCAACAUUAAACCCCAACUCCACCAAUUAUUGAACCUUCGUCGUCCCCAAAUUGCCCCCAGAAAUCUCUUUCGCCAAGACCUCCUCCCAUUUGUGACUUCCAAACGCAAUCAUUAACAUUCGAAAUUACAAAAAAAAAAUAAAAAAAAACAAGCAAAACAAACAAAAUAAAGUAAGAAAAUAUGGUAAAAAUCAAACAAAAUAAAUAAAUAAAGAGUAGCUUAAUUUCCUCUGCAAUUUUUAAUACAAUCUCGAAGAAACAAGUUAGCAUAUCACAAGCGUGAAAGUGAUAUUCUUUGACACACAAUAGUCACCAAAAUUUAAAAAUAAAAAAACCCCCCAAAGAAGAAAAGAACUAAAAUUUAUAUAUAUGUAAAAGAAAAAAGAAUUUACCACUCAACUCUAAAAAGAACCAAAAAAAAAAAAAAAAAGGAAGAAGACCUGUAGUAGUAAUGAUAAAUUCCUCUUCAAUCUUUAGUGAUUUGCUGUUAUUUUCUUGAUGUUUAUGCCCCUGCUAAGAAGGAAAUGACAACAAGAACCCUAAACUUGAUAGUAUUUAAUCUUGAAACCCAGUUUUUUCCCAAAUUGCAUUUCUAACCCUACUCAGAUCUCUCCUU